rnacentral:rRNA from 1 species
UACGUAGGGUGCGAGCGUUGUCCGGAAUUAUUGGGCGUAAAGAGCUCGUAGGCGGUGUGUCACGUCUGCCGUGAAAACCUGCAGCUUAACUGUGGGCGUGCGGUCGAUACGGGCAUCACUGGAGUUCGGCAGGGGAGACUGGAAUUCCUGGUGUAGCGGUGAAAUGCGCAGAUAUCAGGAGGAACACCGGUGGCGAAGGCGGGUCUCCGGGCCGAUACUGACGCUGAGGAGCGAAAGCGUGGGGAGCAAACAGG